UGAAGACUUUUGAAGUGUCGUCAGAAACGUUUGUGAGUUAUCCAGAUAAUUUUAAUAAAAUAUUUUAAAGUCAUGUAAUUGACCGAAAUAUAGAUUCCAGGCGCUACUGGUCCUGAAGUACCAGAAGGCGCGUUCGGUGUAAUCUCUAGUAUUUCGAUACUCCUGGUUCUUUCUUGAUAGUAAGGAUAAACAAUGUGCAGUAAGUCACAUAUUUCCAAAAUAUCUGGGGGGGGCUAUUUCUGAAACGAGGUGAAAAUUACAAAAAACCGUGAUAGCCCCCCUGAGAAGGUGCAAUUGGUGUUGCAAAAGCGAAUUGGUAUUUAAUCAACGAGAUUCAGAGACGGAAGCACAAGCCCAGGAUGAUCCUUCCCGAGAAAGCAGUCUUCGUACUUCGUCUGGAACCAAGAUUCAUAACUCCAGCGAUUAGAACCUGUUCGGAUGCACCCCAAAUGCAAAGUUUGUCGUGCCAUGAGAUAUUUUCCUCCUGAACAAUGCAGUAUGGUCAAUGUUAAAGUGAUCGGGUGUUUACUGUUUGUAUGUGAUGGCAACACACUAUAAUUAUACCGGUGAUUCAAGAACAGAUUGGAAUAUUCCAUCUGCGACUUGCUCUCUUUGGCGAAAGGAUAUUUCUUGAUGCAUUCGACUUUAUUUGAUAAUCUAACGAGUUUGUAUGAAAAUGUCUUAGAAGUAUGGGAGAACAUACAGAGGAAUGCCAUUGAAAUGCAUGGUAAUUUGUUAUUUACAUAUUUUAAUUACUGUUUAACAAGUAGUACACAGAUAAUUUCCACAUUAUUGAAUCUUGCACUUAGCUAGACUGGUUUUUUUUAAGCUCAAGAUAAAAUUAUACUGAGUCCUGCGGAUAGUUGGUUACAUUUGUAGACUCGACGCAAUUAGAAACAUAUCUAAACCACGGUAGGACAAAGGAUAAAAAAUUUGAUCAAGAUCUUAUGAUUCUGCGAUAAAGAAUGCGAUGUUUUCCUCCAAAAAUGCACUCCAUCAACGUUGCUGGUUUGGCAACGUUGAUGGAGUGCAUUUCUUAGGGUAUGAUUUCUGGAGUAGAAUAUCUGUCAGAAGGGAAUAGAGUCAAUUAUGAUAAAUAUACUAAUCAUGAUUUAUUCUAACCAUGUUUUAAUCUGAAACUGUACAUAAUAAAAUUCCCAUUAUGCAAAAUACCUUGUACCAAACAAAAAAAUCUAUUUGUAAUACAGGUAAAAUUAUAUUGUUACUGCAAAGAGCUAUUGUUACAAUUGUAUAAUCAAUAAAUCUUCCAUUUAAUUAAAAAAA